rnacentral:rRNA from 1 species
GACGAACGCUGGCGGCGUGCCUAAUACAUGCAAGUAGAACGCACAGUUUAUACUGUAGCUUGCUACACCAUAGACUGUGAGUUGCGAACGGGUGAGUAACGCGUAGGUAACCUGCCUGGUAGCGGGGGAUAACUAUUGGAAACGAUAGCUAAUACCGCAUAAUAUUAAUUAUUGCAUGAUAAUUAAUUGAAAGGUGCAAUUGCACCACUACCAGAUGGACCUGCGUUGUAUUAGCUAGUAGGUGAGGUAACGGCUCACCUAGGCGACGAUACAUAGCCGACCUGGGAGGGUGGUCGGCCACACUGGGACUGGGACACGGCCCAGACUUCUACGGGAGGGAGCAGUAGGGAAUCUUCGGCAAUGGACGGAAGUCUGACCGAGCAACGCCGCGUGAGUGAAGAAGGGUUUCGGAUCGGAAAGGUCUGUUGUAAGAGAAGAACGGGUGUGAGAGUGGAAAGUUCACACUGUGACGGUAUCUUACCAGAAAGGGACGGCUAACUACGUG